CCACCAAGGCGAUGAUGGGUAGCCGGCCUGAGAGGGUGGCCGGUCACACUGGGACUGAGACACUGCCCAGACUCCUACGGGAGGCUGCAGUCGAGAAUCUUCCGCAAUGGGCGAAAGCCUGACGGAGCGACGCCGCGUGGAGGAUGAAGGCCUUCGGGUCGUAAACUCCUGUCAGUCCGGAAGAAGAUCUGUCCCUUAAGCGGGAUAGAUUGACGGUACGGGCAGAGGAAGCUCCGGCUAACUCCGUGCCAGCAGCCGCGGUAAUACGGAGGGAGCGAGCGUUGUUCGGAAUUAUUGGGCGUAAAGGGCAUGUAGGCGGCUUUGUAAGUCGGGUGUGAAAUCCCACUCCUCAAUAGUGGAAUGGCAUUCGAAACUGCAAGGCUUGAGUUCGGGGGAAGAGAGCGGAAUUCUCGGUGUAGCGGUGAAAUGCGUAGAUAUCGAGAAGAACACCGGUGGCGUAGGCGGCUUUCUAUUCCGAAACUGACGCUGAGAUGCGAAAGCCAGGGGAGCGAACGGGAUUAGAUACCCCGGUAGUCCUGGCCAUAAACGAUGUGCACCUGGUGUUGGGCCGCGAGGUUCAGUGCCGAAGCUAACGCAUUAAGUGCACCGCCUGGGGAGUACGACCGCAAGGUUGAAACUCAAAUGAAUUGACGG
rnacentral:rRNA from 1 species